rnacentral:lncRNA from 1 species
UAAGGAUUUAAAAAUAUUAAUCGAAUGCCAGAUCAAUGGCCAGAUGCCAGAAGAAAACUUUGCUUGUCAAAAGUUAUAGAAUUGAAAGAAUUGGGGGGAAACUAGGAAUUGAUGGGUAGAAGUAACAAAGGAGAAGAUUUAGGCCGGAUGCCAAGAAUGAGGGCUACUUUGAGAAGAAAUGGGCUUUCUUUGGAGGUCUUCAAGCAAAUUCUGUGUGCAAAGCCGCCAUCUUAUAAGUUUCAUGUUGGGCAGGCAGAGGCAUUCAGAAGAGAACACAGGGAAGCUGCUUUUGGGGAUUGUUGAUUCGGUGGAGUCUGAAAGGCUCCCAAAUCCUAGGAACUUGGAGCGGACCCAGAACUCUAAAAGAAGCCCCAGGAGGCGAGGCGAGGCAAGAUUUACACAGAAUGAUAUUAAUGAAAAAAGGCACACCCUUGCUUCAGCUUCAAAAAACCAAGAGGAGAUGAAUAACAAAAUGAAAGAACACAUUUUGCCCAAACUUCAACCCCGACUUUCAAUGACAAUGCCUAUAAAGAAUGAGCAGAACGCCAAGAAGACUAGAAUGAAAGCCCAGUCAUCCAAGGCCUGGUUGGAUGAUUUUCGACAAAAUAUAAAGACCGUUAAAAGUCUCAUGAAUCCAGAGAGCAGCUCCAAGGUGGUGGAGAGUGACAAUGAAGCUGCAGAUUCCAGAAAAGGGGUUAGACAUGAAGAGUUUCAUAUAUUCUCACCUUUUGCUGGAGCAAGUUGUGAAAGGGCAGAAAAAAUCAAGCUGAUGGUCACUGGAAACAGUUAUCCUAAAGCCUUGGUUAAUAUAAUGAACAUGGAGAUGAAACUUACUGCAGAUAAUGACCAAAGACAUACUUUUGCAAGAAACUACUUCUGAAUUUAUUUUUUAAUAGGCCAUUUAAUGUUUUCUUUCUAUUGGAAUUUAGAAAAUACUUUUAGCCAUGUUAUUUUCAAAAUUAUGUUGCUAGAAAUCUUUAUGGGAAGAAGUAUAGGUUAGAUGAGAUACCAGCCUAAAUAAUCAACAUCCUCAUGAGCACUGGGUAUUUUUGCAUUCUUAAUUUCUUAUGUAUGUGACCUUUGACUAUUUGUAACAUGCUGUAAUCAUUAUUCAUUAUUCACAUUGCCAGGGUUACAAUCAAAUAUUGUACAUGCUAUGGAGGCAGAUUAAAGCCAGAAUAAUUUUCAUAAAAACAUAUUUUUAGAAUGUUUGCCAGACAACAGAUGUAUGUUAACUACUAAAUAAAGUUAAAUAAUAACAAUUGAUUUUUUUUUCU